UAGCCCACUUGGUGGAGCACAAGACUUCUAACCUUGUGGUCAUGGGUUCAAGCCCCAU
rnacentral:tRNA from 1 species